rnacentral:rRNA from 1 species
UACAGAGGUUUCAAGCGUUGUUCGGAUUCAUUGGGCGUAAAGGGUGCGUAGGCGGCGCGGUAAGUCGGGUGUGAAAUCUCGGAGCUUAACUCCGAAACUGCAUUCGAUACUGCCGUGCUUGAGGACUGGAGAGGAGACUGGAAUUUACGGUGUAGCGGUGAAAUGCGUAGAUAUCGUAAGGAAGACCAGUGGCGAAGGCGGCUCUCUGGACAGUUCCUGACGCUGAGGCACGAAGGUCAGGGGAGCAAACGGG